rnacentral:rRNA from 1 species
ACGUACGCUGGCGGCGUGCUUAACACAUGCAAGUCGCACGGAAAGGCCCUGCUUUUGUGGGGUGCUCGAGUGGCGAACGGGUGAGUAACACGUGAGUAACCUGCCCUUGACUUUGGGAUAACUUCAGGAAACUGGGGCUAAUACCGGAUAGGAGCUCCUGCUGCAUGGUGGGGGUUGGAAAGUUUCGGCGGUUGGGGAUGGACUCGCGGCUUAUCAGCUUGUUGGUGGGGUAGUGGCUUACCAAGGCUUUGACGGGUAGCCGGCCUGAGAGGGUGACCGGCCACAUUGGGACUGAGAUACGGCCCAGACUCCUACGGGAGGCAGCAGUGGGGAAUAUUGCACAAUGGGCGGAAGCCUGAUGCAGCAACGCCGCGUGCGGGAUGACGGCCUUCGGGUUGUAAACCGCUUUCGCCUGUGACGAAGCGUGAGUGACGGUAAUGGGUAAAGAAGCACCGGCUAACUACGUG